rnacentral:misc_RNA from 1 species
GAUGAAGAACGUAGCGAAAUGCGAUACGUAAUGUGAAUUGCAGAAUUCAGUGAAUCAUCGAGUCUUUGAACGCACAUUGCGCCCCCUGGUAUUCCGGGGGGCAUGCCUGUCCGAGCGUCAUUGCUGCCCUCAAGCACGGCUUGUGUGUUGGGCCUCCGCCCCCCGGCUCCCGGGGGGCGGGCCCGAAAGGCAGCGGCGGCACCGCGUCCGGUCCUCGAGCGUAUGGGGCUUCGUCACCCGCUCCGUAGGCCCGGCCGGCGCCCGCCGGCGACCCCCCUCAAUCUUUCAAGGUUGACCUCGGAUCAGGUAGGGAUACCCGCUGAACUUAAGCAUAUCAAUAAGCGGAGGA